rnacentral:lncRNA from 1 species
GUAAUCCGCGUAAAUCAAUUUUCAUGACGGUCACUUGCAAAUCAAAAUAAAAAAAAUAACGUUUGUCAUCUCGUUGUUGGUUAUUAAGUUUUAGUGACUAUGAAUGAGAGUAUAACUCCAUCAGAGCCAGGAAAAGCUAGGCGAACUCCUGGAGAUCGUCGCAAGUGGAAAAGAAACCUAGCAAAAUCUAAAAGAUACGAUCCUCCAGGGCCACCAGAAUAUCCUCGUUGCGACCAUUUGAACAAGUCUUAUAAAUGCAAGAGGCUAACUAUGAGGGACAUCAAAUAAUUUCAUGCAAAUUUUUACGCAACUCGCGAGAAGAACUCUCAGGAUGCUUUUAUCAUCAAACAUGUAAAGGUAACAACUGCAAAAAGACCACGUCCUAAAAAGAAGCCUACAUCUACAAAGAAAGUUAGUACAAACUACUACAUUAGAGUUUCCGGCACGGAGAAGUUUUGUUUACGUGUAUGUCAGCAAACCUUUGUUGAUAUUCUUCAAAUCUCACGGAAAAGAAUUCAAGGCUUAGCUCGAAAAUUUCUAAAUACGGGUAGAAUUCCAGUGGAUAGGAGAGGUGGAGCAAGACCUAAUCAUUUCUAUGACAGGAAGAAAACCGCUAUUAGAGGGUUUAUAGAAAAAUUGAAAUGCUGUGAAAGUUAUUAUUCUCGAGUUAAGUCUGCUAACCGACGAUAUUUGCCUGGAAAUUUUAGUAUUAAUAAAUUAUAUCGAAUGUACAAUAAUGAACAGCCUGACGAAUUAUCAAAAUUAAAAAAAACAUUUAAAUUUAAAACUGAAACCAAUGCCCAAACGAAAAAUAAAUUCAUGACUGACAUGGCAUUUCAUAAAAUGCGAUAUAAACCUUUUUUUAUAAAACUGCAAGAGAUCUUUUAACACUUAGUUAUGAUUGUCAAAAAAAUUUAGUUUUACCUAAAGUUCAAGAUCAGACGACAUACUAUAGUCGACAAAUUUACAUUUACAAUUUUUCCAUUGUGAAGGGAAGCUUAAAAGACGGUUUGUAUCCUGAAAAUGUAUUUUGUUAUACUUCGAUGGAGCACGAGCAUAAAAAGGGUGCUAAUGAAAUUGCUUCCGCGGUAUUUCAUCAAUUGUCGAUCCUCGAAUUAUUGGCAUCUAUUUCUACAAUAAGGUUGUGUGCUGAGGGAUGCGGUGGGCAAAAUCGUAACUCGAUUAUGAUCGGAAUGCUGCACUAUUUUUUAGCAAAAGUCGCACCUCCAAACAUUAAGGAAAUACAAGUUAUUUUUCCUAUUACUGGACACUCGUUGUUACCCGCUGACCGCGUGUUUGCUUCUAUAGAAAAGAAAUUGCGUAAGUUACCAGUGAUAAUAAAUCCAAAAGAAUAUGAGACAGUUUUUUCAGAGCAUUCUACUAUUUUUAGGCCUGGAACUGACUUAAAUAUUUAUGAUUGGAAGACUUUCGCAGAAACACUUUAAAUUUAAUGAACGUUUUAUCCUUACGAAAUCUGCACAGCAAAAUGUGUUGCUCCGGGGAGAAACAUCUUAUAAUAGCGAUAUAUCCACUGGCAAAUUAAUUGUAAAAAAAGGGAUAAAAAUUAGUUGAUGAUAAAUGCUACAUUGCCAGGUCAGAUACCUAUGGGAGUGGCACUUAAAGCAGUAAAGAUUCAAGAUGUUAAGAAUCUUCUGAAAAAACACUUUGGCGAAACCUGAACCACAAUGGAGGAAAGCUCUUUCUACCAAAAUGUGUUGAAAACCAUGACAGCAAUUCAUGAAGCAGAAGAUCUUGAAGAAAAUGAGUUUUGUGAGGGACAUGAAAAUGAGCAACUUGCUGAUCGAGUGUAAAUUUAUCAAAAUAUUAUUAUGUUUCUUAAGAAUUUAGUUUUGUUUUCUUUUUUUGACAGAAUUUUGUUUUUAAAUUUUGUAAACACCUUUAAAUAAUAAAAAUAAAAGGCGUUUUGGUUAUUCA